rnacentral:rRNA from 1 species
AUACGGAGGGGGCUAGCGUUGUUCGGAAUUACUGGGCGUAAAGCGCACGUAGGCGGAUUAAAAAGUUAGAGGUGAAAUCCCAGGGCUUAACCCUGGAACUGCCUUUAAAACUAGUAGUCUAGAGUUCGAGAGAGGUGAGUGGAAUUCCAAGUGUAGAGGUGAAAUUCGUAGAUAUUUGGAGGAACACCAGUGGCGAAGGCGGCUCACUGGCUCGAUACUGACGCUGAGGUGCGAAAGCGUGGGGAGCAAACAGGAUUAGAAACCCGUGUAGUCC